rnacentral:lncRNA from 1 species
ACAGGCGCACUUCCCCUUCUUCCCUGCCUUGGUUUUUUUCUGAUCUUUUACUGGAAGGCACUGAAAUCAGCCCUAGAGAUUCCUUAUAUGAGAUACUACCUGGAUCAAGCCCAUAUGUUUUCAUGGUGGCCUUCACUGAAACUUACCAAAUGGGCAAAACUUAAAGUGAGAUGCUCGGGAAAGUGACUGACUAAUUGCAUGCACUACUCCUUCAGUGAACUCAAGUUCAGUCCCCAGAACUCAUCUCGGGUGGUUUACCACCUCCUGUAAGGGAUUUGAUGCCCUCUGCUGGCCUCCUGGGGUACCUGCACUUAUGUGUAUAUACCCAUACACAGAUACACAUGAACACACGUAAUUAAAAAAAAAAAAAAGAGUAAGUGAAUCACAAUGCCAGUACUUGCCAUUUGUCUAUUGAUACCUUCUUGGCUGGGCUGGUAAAAAGCGUUAUGGUGGAGGAGUCGAAGUGCGUGUGGAUGACGUGCCUAUGGCAAAGCAUAUGUUCCAAGACACCCCAGCAGAGCUGCAAGGGAGACUGUCCCACACCUGGCAAUGAUGCCAUCAGCAGUAGGUAUCGGUGAUCUUCAGGAGUAAGGAGACACAUCAUUAUGUCGGUACCCAAGGGAAGGAUUUUCUGUUUAACACUUGGAUAUAUGUUACCUGGAAGAUCUGUGCUGAGUCAGUUCCAGUGACGUUUCCCUAGGUGAGAUCUUCAGAAGAGUUCCUGUCAGGGAAAAAAAAACCUAACUUUCCCAGUGUCUUGGCAACGGCCACAGAUAACACUGAGGGCUGAGGCUGCUGCAAUGAGAGAGGUGGGCGAAUGGAAAGUGUCAUUGGAAUCCAAGCUGUGAAAAACUAGAGCAGACCCAGGAGGAGCUUGUGAGAAGGUCUAGAAGCACAGAGAGAGGUCCUGUCCGGUCCUAGAGUAGACAGAAUGGAGUAGGUGCAGCCAUGUAAUCUGGGCUUCUCCAGUCACCCCACCCAAACCUGCACUAGUGAUGGGUUGGCCCCACCCUUUGACCCACACUCAGUGGAAGGCUUGGGUAUCCUCCUAGCCCCUGCACCGUGCCAUGUUUCCUCAUCCGAAAUAAGGCUGGGUUCACUUCCCCGGCUGGGAUGGAUACAUGACCACCCAAGAUAUCGAACUCUCUCUUCUUUCCACCAUGUUAGAUGGGAACAAAAUGAGGCUGUGAUAAAACUCUAGAAGAACCGAAGCACAGAGAAGCUAGAAAGCCUCGGACCCUCAGUUUUUUAGCAGAGGGGAGGAGCUGACAGGGAUGAGUAUCUGAGCAAGGGAAGGUAGUGACCAGGAAAGCAGAGGGCUUUUAAUCUAACCACAAUUAAUAUUAAAAUGCAAAACAACCCCCCCCAACCUGACUCCAUAGACCUGGAGUCUCUUCAGAAGCAUCACCUGUUCCAAGGGAAGCGUGAAUUUAGCAUCCUUAGUAGGUACCCAAUGCACAGUGGGUACUCAUGGUAUGGGACCUCACCAAGUCCUCUCAGCAGUUCUGUUGUGAAGCUGGGGAAGCCUGAUAACAGAUGAGAGAACUGAGCCAGGGGAAAGCAAUUCUCCCUCAAGGACACACAUUUAAAGAGUGGACAUGUAUACUUUAUGCCUAUGUCAGGCAACCUCAGUAAAUAGCCUUCUGCUUCCCUUGGCUACACACUCUGCUGAGAGAAACUUCUCCGCUGAAAGGCGGGAGUGCGGGUUGUAUCACUGGAAAAGCUGAGGCCAGACCCCUGGGUUGGGAGUCUCUGCUUGAUGGCUGAUCACCUGCAUGUGUGUUCUGGUCACAGCACCUGCUUGCCGCCCUUUCUUUCCAUAUAACAAGGUGUGGUGUACGUUUCUGUGCCUUGACUCUUGACACUUGCUGCCCAUGUGAUAUUCAGUGGUUAGAACUCAAGACAUCUGGCUUCAGACUUUCUCAUCCUACUACAGUGGUUUUCCAGGUCGGUGGGGAAGGCUGAGAAAUGAAUGCCCACUCUACCCUCUAGACGCAGCAGCUAGAAACACUUCCAAGGUACCUCAGCUCAGUAUCUUAGAAUCCUCAGCUGCCUUCAGUUGUUACAGAGCCUCCUAUUGGUUGUUCUCCUUCCCUUUCUGGGAUCAUCUAUGCUGGCCAACCACACUCAAACCCUUGUCUUAGGUUCACCUUCUGUGAGACCCUCAAGCUAAGCCAGCCAGGGAUUCUGUGCCCAUUUUAGUCAGGGCUGUUGAAAGCCACACAAAUGCUCAACCCACACUAGUCUUCACCCAGGCUCCAGUCCUCUCUCUAACAAUCCCAUCAAAGCAAUGUGUGUUAGUGCAUGAGAAAAAGACAUCUCGAUUCACUGUCAACUUAUUGCACAAUGGAAGGCCCACGGUGCAUCUGUCCAGAUCCUGGGAAAGGAGCAACGUACUUUAUGCCUCAACUCCCACUUCCUUGGACUAGCUUCUAAACUUCAGACCCGACCUGAGAAUGACCUAGUUCUUGCUUGACAGGGCUAACAAUGAGAGUUCACAGGUAAUCCUAAAACAGGAACUACACAGACAAGCACCAGUUGUAUGUUAGAACUGUAAAUGUUUAAAUUCAACAACCCAACUUUCCUACAAAAGCGCCUCAGAUUGCUAUCAAGCGUUAGUUUCUAGUUCUGACACUUUCAUCCUUUUUAAAUAACCAGAGUUCUAGGGUGAGAGUCAACCAAGAAGCUGUAUAAGCUAAUUUCCCAUUAUCUUUGUCAAGUAGCUUUCUUGGUAUUUCUUUUACCGAGAAAAAGCCUAUAAGGGUUAUAGCCUAAGUCUGCCUCUGCUUCUGUUCCCUCUGCUUCCUGGUCUUCCCAGAUAAUAAGCAAGUAGACACUGAGCUCCCACUGACAGAGAUAGAACCACCUCAUUCACCACGAUGGACUGUGCACCCUCAAACUGCAAACCAAAGUAAACCCUUCCUACCUGAAGACUUUUUUCUGUCAGGUAUUCUGUGACUGUGGCUAGAAAAGUAACUAAGACAAGGACUCCCAAUCCAUGUUAUUUAUUUAAACUCUGGUUACUGUUAGAAUCCCUUCAAGGAUAUCAAUCGCCAUUUUGUAUCAUUUAAAUAGUCUCCAGCUCAUUCAGGCUCAGACUAAUGGUUAGUGUAUGACAUUGUGUGAACCAUCCUGAACAUUCUGAAGAGAGUCUGGAUGUUAACAGU